UGUUUGUUUGUCUCGAAUAGGCUCCGAAACUACUGAACCGAUUUGAAAAAUUCUUUCACCGUUGGAAAGCUAUACUAUCCCUGAGUGACAUAGGCUAUAUUUAGUUUAAAAAAAUAGGGUUCCUUACCAAAACUCCGAUAAUGUAAAAAAAAUACCAAAAAACUUUCUUUAAUCGCGAAUGCUGCGAAAACGAUUGAAGAUAUAACAAAGUGAUGUACUACAAUUUUGUAUCAUUAUCUACAAAAAACGUCGCGACAUCAUAUCUCUAACUAUUAUAGUUUUGUCACAAUAAGCGAUUUUAUAUAAAUAAAUUAAUUAAAAUACCACUACUUGAAAAGGCUCUUUAUUUGUACCUUAGUAUGAAUCCUUAUCGAAAUAAAUGAUUUAUUAUUUAAGAUCGCUUCAAAACCUUUAUAUAACUUUUUGAAUUAUUAGAUUCUGACAUUCCAUUCAAAAGGUAUCACAAGUUAAAAAUUUUGAAAAAUAUCCGCUAGGCGGCUAACUAUGCGUUGUCGAGUUGUAGGCGUCACUCGGGCACGGAGGGGGGUUAAGAUCACUCGCGCGGUCGGCUCCUUACUGAAUGGUCGUGUGUGGAAUUAAAAAAAAUUGUCGCUUGAUAAUAAUAUAAUAUAAAAUUUAAUUGCUGUUAAACGAGAACGCCCAAACCAAUCUGGCUAAUUUUAGUCUUGAAACAUUCGUGGAAGGCCAGAAAAAGAUUAGAAAGUGAGUAAAAAUGGAAAAAUUGCGAGGAAAAUAAUAAUAAGAGAAUUUUAUUCGUGUUGACAAGAAAAAUAUAAAAAGAGAAAACAAAAAAAUAAUAUUUUGAAGGUUGUCAUUGUUGCUUUGUUAAAAUAUUUGUGUUAUUGUUCAAUUGUAUAAGGUUGUGACAAUAGCCCAAAACAAUUUGUAACAAAUAAGGAAAGGCUAAGUUCGGGUCCAACCGAACAUUUUAUACUCUCACAAUUUAUUGAUGUAAUUUUAUUAAGAUAACACACAAUUUUACCUAUAUAUUCGACAUAAAGUCCAAUAGAAAAUCAUCAUAUAUAGUAUAUGAGGGCUGAUGUAAUUCCAGAACAAUUUCACUCAUUUUCACCACCAAGGUUAACGGGAAUAGGGGCGACUUGGAACCUGUUAGUAGGCAAACAUACGGCACAUUCGGCCUUGAAAUUACUCCUAAAUUGCAAAUGAACGAAACACCAGUCAGCAAAAUCGUCAAAAAUAGCGCUUUAACGAAAAUUUUCCCAGGACUUUAAAAGAUCUUGAUUGUCGAUGAACGUUUUUGGUGGAGCCAGGAUUCUGUUAGCAGGUGAUUUACGCCAGACUCUUCCAAUUAUUCCUGGGUCAACUGUUACUGACGGGCUAAUCGCAUGCCUAAAGUCAUUUAAUUUGUGGCGACACAUAAAGUAUCGUUAAUUAACAACUAACAUAUGAGUGUUUUUGCAACAAUAUCAAAUUGCGAUUGUAGAAGCAGUUAGAAAUGGUAGGGUCGCAGUCGACACCUCUAUGGAUUAAUAGCAUUUCCAACAGAUUUCUGUCACUUCAUUGACUCGAAAGAGAAGUUUUCCUGACAUGAAACCUCAAUAUGAUAACCAUAAAUGACUAAUUGAAUGACCUAUAUUGGUGGAAAAAAAGAUAUCGAUGAUCUUAAUGCGACAAUUUAGAAUUUCGGUCCAAGAGAGUUGACACAGCUACAAACCAGGAUGACGUAGUCAAUUAUCCCAAACUAUUUAAAAUUGCCUGUACUAUCACCACUCACUUUGCAAUUAAAAGUAGUGUGAGUUGUCAUCAUGCUGCGUAACAUAAAUCAACCUCGAGUAAUCAAUAUCGUGGACCAAAUUAAUUUAAUGUAUACCUUAGCCACAAAAACGUGUGGCCGGGUGUGCUAGUUUAUGAUAACUUAACUCAUCAUGCAUACCGUUAAACGAUAAAAGUGUAUCAUUUAAUUGAACGCCUGUGCUGUCACUUUUACCAAUCUGGCAAAAGUGUGAAAAUCUUUAUUAAUGCAACGAAUUCAUUAUCAGAUUUAUCUAUUCAAUAUAUUUAUAGUGCAAUAAUCCCACUGCAAUGUUCAAAUAUACAAUACAUAUUGAAAUUCCACAUCUCUUCAUCUGCAAUUAGCAGCUAGAAAAAGUUAAUAAAUGCUGAUUAAUAUAAUUGACAAACAUAUUUUCAAUUGUACCUAAAAUACAUAACGAAAUCUUGAACACUUAAAACGAGAAAGGGCUUAGCUUGAAAUCUAUUUGAAAGCUCAAACUUUUAUAGUAAUGUAAACAAAGCCUUUCUUUCGUUCAUGUCGUCACAAAUAAUUAUAAUAUAAAUUUCUGUCAAGCACACUCCAUUAAAAAUAACGGUACAAAAUUGUCGUAAUGUCUAUUUGUAUAAUUUUUACUGAAUAGUGAGGGUUUCAUGACCUAACUUGAAAGGGAUUAAAUUUCGGAGCACAAGAAUGCUGUUAAGGAAGAAUAGUGAGGACAAUAAUAAUAAGUAGUAUAUUAAAAUAAUUUAUAUGCCAUUCAAUCCAUUUAAUUGCCAUCAAAUAUUCUUAUACAUAUCUAUUUAGUGCAAUACAAACUCUCUAUUACGAAAAACAGGAACUUCAAUAAGAAAUGCAUUAAAUUAUUCAGAUAAGUAUGUGUGCUCAAAUACUCCUAUAUUUCCAUAUGUAUCAGUGGUAGAUUAUGUAAAACAACUACGAUUAUUUAGUACAAAUGUAAGUUUGUUUUUGCAAUUUCAUGAAUAUUCAAAAUAUGUACAUAUUUGAUUAACUGUAUAAACAAAAAUAUGUAUUUACAUACAUACUUAUAUACGUACAUAUAUGUAAUAUAUGCCAGAAUGCUUUUGUUGCGGCAUUUGCAUAGAAUAUUCAAACAAUUAUAACAACCAUGCAAUAUUAAAAUUCACACUUUUCCGCAAAAUUGAUUGAAAGCCCAACCUUAUACUUUAUAAGAAUCUGCCGACUUUCAUGAACAUUUCAUCCACAAAGUCAAUUAGAUAUAAUGGUAUUAAAAUUGAGAAGUAGUAUGGAUGUAUACGAUGGAUGUCAAAGAUGUCGCUGUAUGAUAUAUUACACUGGUUCCGAAAUAGACGAAACUGUAGUAGGUUAAACUGGAAGACCCCCAACGGGCGUGCAAUAAGUCCCCGUAUAACAUUAACAACCACUUUGCAUAUUCAUUGAAAUAUACUCCUCUAACACCACUCUCAAUAUGAUCCGACCAUGUCGAAUCUAUUUUCUUGUUUACAAUACCUCUAAGGUUUUUAAUUCUUUCAAUCCAAUUAGAGUCUGUAAGAGCGUUACAACAACCAUAGUGUUUUUGGUAUUUUGUUAUUUACACUUUCUAUCCCUUUCGGCGCUUACAUACUCAUUUUAUUGAUUAAUGGUAAUUGCCCGCUCUUAUUUAUGUAUCGAACCCGUAUUUAAAUACCAUAUACAUACAUAUGUUGAAUUGCCGGCACCCGAUGUAUUUUUUGUAUUCGUCCGAUAACGGAAUGUCAAAUCUAUUACUUCGGAUAAGGAAUUAAAAGCAUCGUUUCCUCUUCUGUAUCUUCCAAUCAGUGGGCUGCAAAGUGAUCGUAUUUUAGUUUUUCCGAGGUUUUAUAUUGAGCGAAUUGUACAGGACACAUUGUUUUCAAAAAAAAAUCAGCGAAAGGCACUGAAUUCCUCAUAUUCAGAACCUGAGAACCUGUGCUUUGUUUAAAUAUUGUACCAUGAAAAAAUCAAAUGGACUUCAAAAUUGUGCUUAUAGUAAGUAGGCGUGGUUGUAAACCGAUUUCAAACUGCUGUGCUUUAGCUUUUGCUGUGUGUUGUUGAUUAGAAUUGUUCGCUGAGAGCAAAACAUUGCAUUGUCAUGUUAAAUGAACGAAUGACUUGAAACAAGGAGUAAGCCUGCUCCGUGCAGCAGUUUAUUAUGUAAUAAAACUAGAAGCACAAAUAAAACAAAUUGAUGCAGUAGUUCCUGGGGUAUGGUUUUCGACUCAAAAGUCGGCAUUACAACACCUAUUCUCCAUUUUUAAUACCAAUUUGAGAUUUUUGUUCUCGCCGUCUAGAGUCGAGUUAUUGUUGUUGUUUUAACGAUUAUCCAGCUCUGUUGAAACGGACAGUAUAAGCCUAGUUGUCAUCGAGGUCAUCUAAAGGGAGGCCCAGGAACCGUGAUGUUUCGAUAGGGUCGGACCAAAGGGAAAGGGGUGUUUGAUGAGUUGGGUUCGUUGGGCAUGCAAAGAGACUCAUGCGGAGACUCAUAACAUGCAGAACAUAUAUUCUGUAUGUCACGAGUUCAGUCUUAAUAAAUAAGAGGUUAACCUGCUACAGUAUCUAGAACGAAGUUGCGCAAGGGUUACUAUGGUUUCAUGUGACGCGAUCAUCACCUGCUAUCUAGAAUCGUGUGUUUAUUGACGUUGAUUUCGCCCAUCUGCAAUACCAAUAUUCUCUGAUGCCUAAUGAACUUGUAUACGACGUAUCAUGAGGAUACCUCAAUUUUUACUCAAGUUGUCGCUUCUACCGACGAACUGGCAAACCGUACUUUUAUAACGGCUACUUACAGAUUCUAUCUUUUUAAAGACUCACAACGAACUCUUAUAAUUAAUAACAUUUAUUAAGCCGGAUAGGUUUUAAGUUAUACAACAGCUGUAUGCAUACUGGUAUAUAACUUUAUAACAUUAACGUUUUAAGUUAUAUUGAUCUAUGAAUUACUUCUAUUCUUUCUUAAGCAGCAGAUGGCCCUUGGGUCUCAACUUGUUCUU